UACAGAGACCUCAAACGUUAUCCGGAUUCAUUGGGCGUAAAGCGUCCGCAGGUGGUUUGGUAAGUCAUUGGUUAAAUCCUGGGGCUCAACUUCAGGACUGCUGGUGAUACUGCCAAGCUUGAGGAUGGAAGAGGUAAGCGGAAUUCUCGGUGUAGUCGUAAUAAGCGCUGAUAUCGAGAAGAACACCAAAGGCGAAGGCAGCUUACUGGUACAUUCCUGACACUCAUGGACGAAAGCGUGGGGAGCGAAUAGG
rnacentral:rRNA from 1 species